CCUACGGGAGGCAGCAGUGAGGAAUAUUGGUCAAUGGGCGCGAGCCUGAACCAGCCAAGUAGCGUGAAGGAUGACUGCCCUACGGGUUGUAACCUUCUUUUAUAGAGAAGUAACGUGAGUCACGUUUGCCUCUUUGUAUGUACUUUAUGAAUAAGGAUCGGCUACCUCCGUGCCAGCAGCCGCGGUAAUACGGAGGAUCCGAGCGUUAUCCGGAUUUAUUGGGUUUAAAGGGCGCGUAGAUGGGUUGUUAAGUCAGUUGUGAAAGUUUGCGGCUCAACCGUAAAAGUGCAAGUGAUACUGGCAGUCUUGAGUACAGUUGAGGUAGGCGGAAUUCGUGGUGUAGCGGUGAAAUGCUUAGAUAUCACGAAGAACUCCGAUUGCGAAGGCAGGUCACUAAACUGCCACUGACAUUGAUGCUCGAAAGUGUGGGUAUCAAACAGGAUUAGAUACCCUGGUAGUC
rnacentral:rRNA from 1 species